rnacentral:lncRNA from 1 species
UAAGCCUGGAGACACUUUGGCUCUCAAACUUUAAUUUGUUGUAAUUUUUUAUUCGAACUUUUAGAAUGUAGAUGUGAUAUAAUAGUAUUGUGAUUAAUAAUACGCUAAUAAUUAAGAUGCCACAUUACUUUUAUAUCAACGGCCGUUAAAAUUUAUCCAACUAUAUUAAAUUGUGGGACUUAAUUGUAAUAAUUUUAAAAGUUCGAAUAAGAAAUUAUAAUAAAUUUAAAAUUUAAGGACUAGAUUGUGGGACUUGUUGUUGAGCUCCACAUGUAUUU